AUUCUGCCCAAGCGGGGAAGGAUGAGAAGCUUCGACCAAGGUUCGACUCGAGCGCCAGCGAGAGAGCGUUGCCGCAGGCAACGACCCGAAGGGCG
rnacentral:sRNA from 1 species